rnacentral:rRNA from 1 species
AACGAACGCUGGCGGCGUGCCUAACACAUGCAAGUCGUGCGAGAAAGUUCCUUCGGGAGCGAGUAAAGCGGCGCACGGGUGAGUAACACGUAGGUAACCUGCCCCCCAGUCUGGAACAACUAGAGGAAACUCUAGCUAAUGCCGGAUGAGACCACGAUCCCUUCGGGGGUUGCGGCCAAAGAUGGCCUCUACUUGUAAGCUAUCGCUGAGGGAUGGGCCUGCGGGCCAUUAGCUUGUUGGUGAGGUAACGGCUCACCAAGGCUGUGAUGGCUAGCUGGUCUGAGAGGAUGACCAGCCACACUGGGACUGAGACACGGCCCAGACUCCUACGGA